GUUCAUUCACUCAACUAAUAUUUACUGAACAUUUACUCUGUGCCUGGUCUGAUCUAGCUCUGUGCAAUACAUAUGUGUAAAAGGCACCAUCCCCACCCUCGGGGAGUUCAUGGACCUCGCUCAUUACAGGAUUUUGGUGGUGGGGACAGCAUUGUGCAAAGGUGGACAGGGGUCCCUCGACUCACAUCACAGAGGUUCUCAAGAGCACUGAGUUAGGUUCUUCCUGGAAGAACCUUCAGAAGGGUACCUGUGCGGACUCCUGCUCCCUGACAUGGUCCCCUUAAAUCCUGCUUCUGUAUAAAGUACCUUGAUUCCUAGAAGUUUAUCGACCAAGGUAGCUUUGGCUGAAUUGCGGUUCCACCACUCCGAUGCACAGAUGGAGGCCUGGCCCGGGAAUGAAGGGACUCGAGCCUGGGCCUGGCUUCCAGAUGGCACUCCCAGGCCCAAGGAAGUUUCCUCACCCCCACAGCAGACCUGCCUGUGUUCUCCUGACCAAACUUGACCUUGAGCUCCUAGAGACAGAGAUACGGACACUCAAAAGUCAAAGAAGUCUUGGGGCUGAAGACCAAGGAACAGAGCGAAACUAAUCCCAGGAUUCACUAAUUCCAUGACCCCAAGGGGACUGCCAACUGCCCAUUGGAUUACAGGAUGGGCACCUUCCCUCCCCAUCAUUUAAUCCAAAAGUUGACACAUGCCUCUGCCCCACUUUCUACGGCAGCUCUGAGAAUCUCCUUCCCACCAUACUGCUCCCCAAACCCACCAAGUACCUACUUGCCCAGACCUCAAAGUGGGCCUGUGGCUGCUGGGGUGAGACUCUGACCCUGAUCUGUCUGAUACAUCUCUCUGCCCACCUGGGAUAGGAACAACACGGAAGGAUGUCACUUAGAAUGAUUUGGGCAUUUUUCUGACCAAUGGAGGCUGGAAGCGAAGUAGAUAGCUGUGUGGGUCUGUUCCAGUCAGAGAAUAUUUUGAUAAUCCAGUAAAAUCGUUGUUGAUUACUCCUGGCUUGGUUUGUGUUUGAAGCUGGCAUUUUUCAUCUGUAAGUAUGUAUGUAUGUAUGCAUGUCCCUUUAAAAAAGUAGUUCAGUAAA